rnacentral:ncRNA from 1 species
AGAACUGAUAAUCCGAGAAGUGGAAUGAUAGAGUAACGUCUUGAAACGCUUCCCUUAAUACUCCGACUGGCAUUUUUGGGAAACUGAUUAUGUCAGAAAGCUCGGUGAAGUCGGCUGAGAGAUACCGUCUCUGCAAAAGCGGAACGAAAGCUGUUCAGAGGUGAAUGGUGUAUCCUAUAGGUCGGAGGUCUAUAAA